GGGUUAAGUGGUGGGCUGUCUCAUGGGUGCCACCAAUUUGAGGCUCCGCCCACUAGACAGCCUGCAGGGCUCACAGCCGGGUGAUUGAGGGCUCAGCAAGUGGUAACAUUGCUUUCUCCCGACCCUGUUGUGAAGUCAUAAGCUGCUGGAGGGUGGAAUUCACGUUGUCGAGACCGGAUGACCAAGGGACAGAUCUGACCAUCUCUUCCUCUCCACGGAGGCAGCUCGACACGUCUCCUCGGCCGGUGGACUUAUUCCCUGCGGCUCGGACACCGUGAGGCCCGUCCCCAGAUUCACUUUGCUUUCAACGGAUGGAGCCAGAGGUUGUACUGCCAUGCGAAAAGGAAGCUCUGAGACCACUGGUUUGCCUGGAUGACUAAUGGGACAGGCUCUUUGGCUGCUCAAGGGGCACUGUUCACAUUUUCAGAUCUGGGGGGUAAGGGAGACGCCUGUCCCCAUGGAGAGAUGGAACCUUGCUGCCACUCCAA